rnacentral:pre_miRNA from 1 species
CAAUUACUCCCUCCGUCCAGAAAUACUUGUCAUCAAAAUGGACAAAAAAGGAUGUAUCUAGAACUAAAAUACGUCUAGAUACAUUUCCUUUUAUCCAUUUUGAUGACAAGUAUUUCCGGACGGAGGGAGUACCAA